AGACCUGCUGCCAGCUCUCCUGAGCCGGGCAGGGGCUGAGAGCCAGCAGAGCUCCUUCCCCGAGCCCCGCCCCCACCAUCUCUGACCGAGGCGGCCGUCCAUCACUGCUCAGGGCGCGACCGGCUGACUUCACCCCUUGUAUCUGCCCAGGGUGAGUGGUCGCUCCUUAAUCUCCACCCUGGAAAUUCAACCUGGGCCCGCGUGACUUAGAGUUGUUCCAAGUUACGCCAACAUGAGCCACUGAGGAGAGACUCCUCUUCCGUGCCAGGGAGGGGAAUGCCCACUGACGAGGACAGGCAGGGACAGUCCCCGCCCUUCCCACAGCGGGCUCGGCACAGGCGGCUGGACGGACGGCCUGGCCGACAUCUGCAUAAACAAAGCUCCAGGAGCCCGGCCUGGUGGGGCCGCAUCGCCCUCGGCUCUCAGCCCUUGGGGGAGGUGAGGGGAGUAUGCAGAACCACCCCUGAGCGUUCCACCAGGCCAGGGAGGGUGCCCGCAGCUGGCCCCGGCAAGAAUGAAGUUCGGGUGCUUGGAGCGUGUUGCCCACGAGUCCAAGAGCUUCCUUCAGGGGCUGGCAGCAGCCACGCCCUCUGGGCCUGAGUGUGUGGGACACCAGUGCUCCCCACUCCCAGCCUCUGUCCCUGUGCGGCCCUCACCUGCCCUUCCAGCCCCGUCUCUCUCAUCGACUUCCUGCUAAGCCCGGCCCCCAGGCCUCCCCUCCCUAAGGAGCAGUUGUGACGCCAGUUGGAGGCAAGCUGAGCCCUGGGCCCCCAGGCCAGCCCACCACCUGCUGUCCCCACCCGCACUCUG
rnacentral:lncRNA from 1 species